GGCGAACGGGUGAGUAACGCGUGAGCAAUCUACCUUAGUUACUGGGAUAGCCCGAGGAAACUCGGAUUAAUACCGGAUAUUCUUAUUUUUUCACAUGAAGUUUUAAGGAAAGGUCAGCCGAACUAAGAUGAGCUCGCGUUCUAUCAGCUAGUUGGUGGGGUAAAAGCCUACCAAGGCUACGACGGAUAGCUGGUCUGAGAGGACGAUCAGCCACACUGGGACUGAGACACGGCCCAGACUCCUACGGGAGGCUGCAGCAGGGAAUAUUGUGCAAUGAGCGAAAGCUUGACACAGCGACACCGCGUGUGGGAUGACGGUUCUAGGAUUGUAAACCACUUUCAGGAGGGAAGAAAAUGACGGUACCUCCACAAGAAGACCCGGCCAACUAUGUGCCAGCAGCCGCGGUAAUACAUAGGGGUCAAGCGUUGUCCGGAUUUAUUGGGCGUAAAGAGCUCGUAGGCGGUUCAACAAGUCGGUCGUAAAAGUUUAGGGCUCAACCCUAAAAUGUCGAUCGAUACUGUUGUGACUAGGAUACGGUAGAGGUGAAUGGAAUUCCGAGUGUAGCGGUGAAAUGCGUAGAUAUUCGGAGGAACACCAAUUGCGAAGGCAGUUCACUGGACCGUGAUCGACGCUGAGGAGCGAAAGCUAGGGGAGCAAACAGGAUUAGAUACCCUGGUAGUCCUAGCUGUAAACGAUGGAUACUAGAUGUAGGAACUGGAUUGACGGUUUCUGUAUCGUAGCUAACGCGUUAAGUAUCCCGCCUGGGGAGUACGGUCGCAAGACUAAAACUCAAAGGAAUUGACGGGACCCCGCACAAGCGGCGGAGCAUGCGGCUUAAUUCGAUGAUACCCGUAGAACCUUACCUGGACUUGACAUAUAGGGAAAAACUGGAGAAAUCCAGUGUGCGUAAGCGCCCUAUACAGGUGGUGCAUGGCUGUCGUCAGCUCGUGUCGUGAGAUGUUGGGUUAAGUCCCGCAACGAGCGCAA
rnacentral:rRNA from 1 species